rnacentral:sRNA from 1 species
UGAAAUAAAUCUGUCAAGCAAAUAAGCAGUGUGCCUGCAAGGCAGGCAAAGCUGCUUAUUUAUUUGACGGAAAAAACAACAUAAGCAUGUAGAGCGGAUGCUCGGAAUGCGCAUGUUGUGGGAUGAUUUCGGGAGUUCGAAGAACGUAGAAAUCAUAUUAUUUCA